UACAGAGGGGGCAAGCGUUGUUCGGAAUUACUGGGCGUAAAGGGCGCGUAGGCGGCCCGCUAAGUCGAACGUGAAAUCCCUGGGCUCAACCCAGGAACUGCGUCCGAUACUGGCAGGCUUGAAUCCGGGAGAGGGAUGUGGAAUUCCAGGUGUAGCGGUGAAAUGCGCAGAUAUCAGGAAGAACACCUAUGGCGAAGGCAGCUCUCUGGGACGGUACUGACGCUGAGACGCCAAAGCGUGGGGAGCGAACAGG
rnacentral:rRNA from 1 species